CCUACGGGUGGCAGCAGUGAGGAAUAUUGGUCAAUGGACGGAAGUCUGAACCAGCCAAGUAGCGUGAAGGAUUACUGCCCUAUGGGUUGUAAACUUCUUUUAUAUGGGAGUAAAAUGUUCCACGUGUGGUGUUUUGUAUGUACCCUAUGAAUAAGGAUCGGCUAACUCCGUGCCAGCAGCCGCGGUAAUACGGGGGGUCCGGGCGUUAUCCGGGUUUUUUGGGUUUAAAGGGAGAGUAGGUGGAUUGUUAAGUCAGUUGUGAAAGUUUGCGGAUCAACCGUAAAAUUGCAGUUGAAACUGGCAGUCUUGAGUACAGUAGAGGUGGGCGGAAUUCGUGGUGUAGCGGUGAAAUGCUUAGAUAUCACGAAGAACCCCGAUUGCGAAGGCAGCUCACUGGACUGCAACUGACACUGAGGCUCGAAAGUGUGGGUAUCAAACAGGAUUAGAUACCCGAGUAGUC
rnacentral:rRNA from 1 species